GACGAACGCUGGCGGCGUGCUUAACACAUGCAAGUCGAACGGUGAAAGGGAGCUUGCUCCCUGGAUCAGUGGCGAACGGGUGAGUAACACGUGGGCAACCUGCCCCAGACUUCGGGAUAACGCUUCGAAAGAGGUGCUAAUACCGGAUACGAACUCCUUGGGCAUCCUGGGAGUUGGAAAGUUUUUCGGUCUGGGAUGGGCCCGCGGCCUAUCAGCUUGUUGGUGAGGUAACGGCUCACCAAGGCGACGACGGGUAGCCGGCCUGAGAGGGCGACCGGCCACACUGGGACUGAGACACGGCCCAGACUCCUACGGGAGGCAGCAGUGGGGAAUAUUGCGCAAUGGGCGGAAGCCUGAUCCAGCCAUGCCGCGUGAGUGAUGACGGCCUUCGGGUUGUAAAGCUCUUUUGUCCGGGAAGAUAAUGACUGUACCGGAAGAAUAAGCCCCGGCAAACUUCGUGCCAGCAGCCGCGGUAA
rnacentral:rRNA from 1 species